CUGAGCUUCACUUUUUUGCGUAAACCUGCACUCAGAUAAGGUGUGUUCCCUAUAUAGGUUGCUUUGUGGAGACGUGGUUGUCCUGAUGGAGAUUGGUCGCACUUGGUGGUCACCUAUCACCGCGCCUAUGUGGCUAUAGGUAGGAGUGCUCAUUUGGUGGCCUUGGUUCGGCCUGAGACCUUCACCUAUUUGUAUGUAUGAGGAUCCCUUCCGGUGUCCCACUUUGUACCAAGUGGUACUAUGCUGUGCUCUGUAUAACUUCCAUUUAGUGUACGCUUCCCUAAUUCUAUGAUUCGUGCUUAAAUAUUUACUAGCCAUGUGCUCGUAUUCCCAAUUUGUGGAGAUUUGACUUAUCAGUGCUUGUUUGGUCGGGGUUGUUUCCAGCACCUGGCUAUCAGAGUCACUGCUGCUAUUAAAGUUUGGAAUAUUAGUUGCCUUUCUGGUUUGUGCCAGUGAUUUAGGUUCAUGAAUAGUAAGCCUUGUUCAGGUGUCAAGUGGUAUGUGUUCCCUAACGUGUGAGUGACAAUUUCCUCCACUUGUUUCCAGUAUGGGGUCAGAGCUGGGCAAG